UAACCACCGGCAUGAAGAUUUAGGUAAAAUAUUAAUGAAGAUGCUUCGAAAUAACCCAAUUUAAUAUUUUUGCUUCCUAAGCCCCAUCCUUUUAUUAUUAAGAUGAAUGAAAAUCUAGUAACCUUUAUUUGCAAGAAGUCCGCCAGUUCGUGUAGUGACGGGCUGGAUUAUUUUAAAGGAAAUGAUAAGGACUGCAAGUUACUUAAGUAGGCUUGUUUACAAAUCGAUCGAUAGUGUUUCAGUAUUUGUGCGGUUUUCCGCCUUGAUGGAAUGAGAAUCGUGUAAUAUUAAGCCUAUAGUUAUGACUCGUAAUCUGUAUCU
rnacentral:rRNA from 1 species